rnacentral:rRNA from 1 species
GAUUAAAUUUAACGGCCGCGGUAUCUUAACCGUGCAAAGGUAGCAUAAUCAAUUGUCCUUUAAAUUAGGACUAGUAUGAACGGCAUCACGAGGGUUUAACUGUCUCCCCCCUUUAAUCAACGAAACUAAUCUUCCCGUGAAGAAACGGGAAUGUAAUUAUAAGACGAGAAGACCCCAUGGAGCUUUAAACUUAAUAUCACUUAUUUAAUAAUAAAACACAAUAUGUAAUAAGAGUGAUUUUAUAGUUUUGGUUGGGGCGACCCUGGAGAAUAACAAACCCUCCAGAUUGAAAUGAACAAUAGACCUUAUAUAAGAACCACAAUUCAAAUAAACAAAAAUUUGACAAAACUGACCCAGAAUAAACUGACCAGUGAACCAAGUUACCCUGGGGAUAACAGCGCAAUCCAUUUUAAGAGCCCUUAUCGACAAAUGGGUUUACGACCUCGAUGUUGGAUCAGGGUAUCCAAGCAGCGCAGCCGUUGCUGAUGGUUCGUUUGUUCAACGAUUAA